AAAGUGCUGGGAUUACAGUUAUGAACCACCACGCCCAGCUCUGAUUUUUAUAUUUUUAGUAGAGAUGGGGUUUCACCAUGUUGGCCAGGCUGGUCUCGAACUCCUGGCCUCACGCAAUACACCCACCUCGGCUUCCCAAAGUGCUGGGAUUACAGGUGUGAACCACUGUGCCCAGCCUAUUUUUUUUUGAAUAGCACUGUUACAGAAGAAUGUCAGUUUACUCCAGGGCACUUCAGUAUUCCUGAGGAAUAAACACAGUUUCUCUUUUCCUCCCACUGGGAUGUUGUCAGGUGAAGUCACUGCUCCUGCUGUUUGACAUAUUUUCCAUGUAGAAGAUAUGGACCUGGAAAUCAUGCUGACAGUUGGAGUAAGCCAUUUCUAAUCCCAUGCCAGAACCGAAGGCUAAUGGCCACACUCGUCUUUUAAAGAAGAAUCCCACAGGAUGAGAUGAAGAAUAUCAUGUAGCCAUCUCAGCUUAUUUCACAUCGUUUGAA
rnacentral:lncRNA from 1 species